rnacentral:rRNA from 1 species
GGCGGCCCGCAAGGGCCAGUCGAGCGGCGAACGGGUGAGUAACGCGUGGAUUAUCUACCCUGAGGUGGGGGAUAACCCGGGGAAACUCGGGCUAAUACCGCAUAUGACCGUGAGGUCAAAGGGGGGUCGCAAGAUCUCUCGCCAUAGGAGGAGUCCGCGUUCGAUUAGCUAGUUGGUAGGGUAAUGGCCUACCAAGGCCACGAUCGAUAGCCGGCCUGAGAGGGUGAUCGGCCACACUGGAACUGAGACACGGUCCAGACUCCUACGGGAGGCAGCAGUGGGGAAUUUUGCGCAAUGGGCUAACGCCUGACGCAGCAACGCCGCGUGGAGGAUGAAGGUCUUUGGAUUGUAAACUCCUGUCGACCGGGAAAAAGCAACCCGACCUCAUACGUCGGGAAGUUGAUUGUACCGGUGGAGGAAGCCCCGGCUAACUCUGUGCCAGCAGCCGCGGUAAUACAGAGGGGGCAAGCGUUAUUCGGAAUUAUUGGGCGUAAAGGGCGCGUAGGCGGCCUGGCAAGUGGAAGGUGAAAUCCCUCGGCUUAACCGAGGAACUGCCCUCCAAACUGCUUGGCUUGAGUCCGGGAGAGGUGAGUGGAAUUCCCAGUGUAGCGGUGAAAUGCGUAGAUAUUGGGAGGAACACCAGUGGCGAAGGCGGCUCACUGGACCGGAACUGACGCUGAGGCGCGAAAGCGUGGGGAGCAAACGGGAUUAGAUACCCCGGUAGUCCACGCCGUAAACGAUGAGUGCUUGGUGUAGCGGGUAUCGACCCCUGCUGUGCCGAAGUCAACACAUUAAGCACUCCGCCUGGGGAGUACGGUCGCAAGGCUGAAACUC